AUCAGCCCUGAACACCACCAAUAGCAACAUGUGGGUGGAAGUUGGACAGCAGUAGCAGGAAGCUGUCAGAGCCUCGUUUAGAGCAGCAGCAUGAUGUUUACAGCUUCAGGGCUGAAUGUUGGAGUAAUUUUUAGAAAGCUAUUUAUUAUCUCUUUAUCUUCCCUGUUGAUUUUAUCUCGCACUGGUCUCGACGCAUUCUCAUUUAUUCACUAAACUGGAAAUAAAUUAAGAGUCUAGAUUUGAGGUGGUUCUGAUCCGAUAGAUGGGAUAUCAUUUUCAGUCCGAUACCAAGAGAAAAUGAUGGAUAGGUUUUGAGAAAAAAAAUUUUUUUAAGAUUUGAGGAUAUCAGAUGAUGAUACUCCAGGCUUCAGAAUCAUUUUCAGAGAAGAAAAAGUGGUUACAGACUUUCAAUUACAAGUAGAAAUGCUUUCUUGGGGACAAGUCCCUCAGGGGAGGAAGUUGGACAGCAGGAGCAGGAAGCUGUCGGAAUGUUCUUCAGAGCAGCAGUGUGGUGUUUCCAGCUUCGGGGCUUGAACACAGUUGAUGAGA